rnacentral:rRNA from 1 species
CAGCAGCGGUAAUACGGAGGGUGCAAGCGUUAAUCGGAAUUACUGGGCGUAAAGCGCACGCAGGCGGUCUGUCAAGUCAGAUGUGAAAUCCCCGGGCUUAACCUGGGAACUGCAUUUGAAACUGGCAGGCUAGAGUCUUGUAGAGGGGGGUAGAAUUCCAGGUGUAGCGGUGAAAUGCGUAGAGAUCUGGAGGAAUACCGGUGGCGAAGGCGGCCCCCUGGACAAAGACUGACGCUCAGGUGCGAAAGCGUGGGGAGCAAACAGGAUUAGAUACCCCAGUAGUCCCUGUCUCUUAUACACA